rnacentral:rRNA from 1 species
GAUGAACGCUGGCGGCGUGCCUAAUACAUGCAAGUCGAGCGAACGGACGAGAAGCUUGCUUCUCUGAUGUUAGCGGCGGACGGGUGAGUAACACGUGGAUAACCUACCUAUAAGACUGGGAUAACUUCGGGAAACCGGAGCUAAUACCGGAUGAUAUUUUGAACCGCAUGGUUCAAAAGUGAAAGACGGUCUUGCUGUCACUUAUAGAUGGAUCCGCGCUGCACUAGCUAGUUGGUAAGGUAACGGCUUACCAAGGCAACGAUGCAUAGCCGACCUGAGAGGGUGAUCGGCCACACUGGAACUGAGACACGGUCCAGACUCCUACGGGAGGCAGCAGUAGGGAAUCUUCCGCAAUGGGCGAAAGCCUGACGGAGCAACGCCGCGUGAGUGAUGAAGGUCUUCGGAUCGUAAAACUCUGUUAUUAGGGAAGAACAUAUGUGUAAGUAACUGUGCACAUCUUGACGGUACCUAAUCAGAAAGCCACGGCUAACUACGU